rnacentral:misc_RNA from 1 species
UCCGAUUUAUCAUCGGCAGUACCCCUAUAGUGCCCAACUUAAUGAUGGCAAAUAAGGGAAAGGGUUGCGCUCGUCGCGGGACUUAACCCAACAUCUCACGACACGAGCUGACGACAGCCAUGCAGCACCUGUCACCGACCAAUUGAAGAGCUCCGUCUCCGGAGCCCCGAUCGGGAAGUCAAGGGCUGGUAAGGUUCUUCGCGUUGCCUCGAAUUAAACCACAUGCUCCACCGCUUGUGCGGGCCCCCGUCAAUUCCUUUGAGUUUCAGCCUUGCGGCCGUACUCCCCAGGCGGGGUACUUCCUGCGUUAGCGCCGGCACCCAAGGGGUCGCUCCCCCAGGCACCUAGUACCCAUCGUUUACGGCGUGGACUAC